rnacentral:rRNA from 1 species
AUGGCUCAGAUUGAACGCUGGCGGCAGGCCUAACACAUGCAAGUCGAGCGGAUGAC